GAUCUGUGUUCCGCGGCCCGGCCGCGGCUGAGUCUUCCCAGGGUCAGGGUCGGGCGCUUUGCUGAGUCCCUUUGUGGCCGCCAUGGACAAUUCCGGGAAGGAAGCGGAGGCGAUGGCGCUGUUGGCCGAGGCGGAGCGCAAAGUGAAGAACUCGCAGUCCUUCUUCUCUGGCCUCUUUGGAGGCCAUUAACUGUUUGAUGCGAGCAAUCGAGAUCUACACAGACAUGGGCCGAUUCACGAUUGCGGCCAAGCACCACAUCUCCAUUGCUGAGAUCUAUGAGACGGAGUUGGUGGACAUCGAGAAGGCCAUUGCCCACUACGAGCAGUCCGCAGACUACUACAAAGGCGAGGAGUCCAACAGGUAGCCCCCUUCCUGCCUGCCCCAGCCCCGCAGGGACCGCCACCACUUCCCCUCACUACUCCUCCCCACACAGCUCAGCCAACAAGUGUCUGCUGAAGGUGGCUGGUUACGCCGCGCUGCUGGAGCAGUAUCAGAAGGCCAUUGACAUCUACGAACAGGUGGGGACAGGUGGGGAUGGCGGCUUCCACCCUGCCCCCUCUCAGGGCCUGUGCCUCCUCCUAAGCCCCGGCACCUUGUUCUGGAACCACCCCUCCCCCGGCUCACCCUCUGCCUCUCCCCCGACAUCCCUUGCCAUGUCAUCCCCCAACCCUGUCUUCAGCCUGGCUGAAUGUUCUCCACCUACGACUCCAUGCCGUGCCAGCACCGUCUCUCUCCCUGGCUGUGCCCCUCCCACACCCCUCGCAGAGCUUCCUGGAGGGGCCCAGAGUGAGGCUGGCUAAAGAAUCCAGAGGGAGGGAAUGGGAAGAAGUGCCAAGAGGCCCAGGGUGGCCGUGGGCACCCCACCCCAUGGCCCGAUGGUCCUCAUCCACAGU
rnacentral:sRNA from 1 species